rnacentral:rRNA from 1 species
UGUCUUUUAAAUGAAGACCUGUAUGAAUGGCAUAACGAGGGCUUAACUGUCUCCUCCCCCCAGUCAAUGAAAUUGAUCUCCCCGUGCAGAAGCGGGGAUAACAACACAAGACGAGAAGACCCUGUGGAGCUUAAAAUCACGAACAGACCAUGUCAAGAAUAACAAACAAGAACAUCAAACAAAUUGGCCACUGUUUAUGUAUUUUUGGUUGGGGCGACCGCGGGGUAAUAAAUAACCCCCAUGUGGACUAAGAAAACAUUCUUAAAACUAAGAGCCCCCGCUCUAAGUAGCAGAACUUCUGACCUUAAUGAUCCGGCCUGGCCGAUCAACGAACCCAGUUACCCCAGGGAUAACAGCGCAAUCCUCUUCUAGAGCCCAUAUCGACAAGAGGGUUUACGACCUCGAUGUUGGAUCAGGACAUCCUAAUGGUGUAGCCGCUAUUAAGGGUUUGUUUGUUCAACAAUUAAAGU